UCGUGCAUGCGCACCUUGUUUUCUCCAAAG
rnacentral:piRNA from 1 species